rnacentral:rRNA from 1 species
UACAGAGGGUGCGAGCGUUAAUCGGAAUUACUGGGCGUAAAGCGUGCGUAGACGGUUAUUUAAGUCGGGUGUGAAAGCCCCGGGCUCAACCUGGGAAUUGCAUUCGAGACUGAAUAGCUAGGGUACGGUAGAGGGAAGCGGAAUUUCCGGUGUAGCGGUGAAAUGCGUAGAUAUCGGAAGGAACAUCAGUGGCGAAAGCGGCUUCCUGGACCAGUACCGACGUUCAGGCACGAAAGCGUGGGGAGC